GCGGUGAGCGUGUGGUGGCGAAGAAUGCAGGCGGCGCGGGGAUCGCGGGCGCUUUCCAUCGGGGAACAAAGGCCUGACAGGUGGGCCCCACCUGUCAAUGGUAGCGGGCGCGCGCGGGGCGGCUGGGCCGGCUCUGUCGGGCUGGCUCGGUCGGUGCUGGGCCGGUUCGGCCCAAGUGGUCGGACCGGUCCGGUUCACCCCCCUUUUUUUUUCUUUUCUUUUUCCCUUUUUCUUAUUUCUUUGAUAUCUUUUGAUGUUGAACUCCAAAUUGGUCCAAAUAAAUUCCAGAAUUUUUUUAAAAUCAUGUUCUAGCAUGAUACAACUUUUGGGAGUAGUUUCCCCUCAGAAGAAAAUAUAUAAAAAUACAUAAAACCUAUUGGUUUGAAGAUCCAAAGCUCAAAUGGGUGUAAACCCUAAGGUUUAAAAUGAAAUAAAAUCCUUUAAAAGCCUUUUGGGAUUCAAAUUUGAAUUCAAAUAUGCAAUUGUGGCAUGAUGCUUAUGGAUGCAAUGCAUAUGUAAGAAUUUGAAAUUUUUGGGAUGUUACAGACCUAACCCCCUUAAGAUGAAUCUCGUCCUCGAGAUUCAGUUUGGAGCAAAGAGGUGUGGGUGGUCUUCUCGAAGAUCAUCUUCGCGUUCCCAAGUGGUUUCUUUUUCAGUGUGAUGGUCCCACUGAACCUUGCAAAACUUGAUGCUCUUGGAUCGGGUCUGUCUUUCAGCUGUAUCCAAGAUUCUGAUCGGUUUCUCCUCAUAGGUGAGGUCACUCUACAAUUGCACUUCCUCAAGUGGUGUGUCGGCCAUCUCGGGGUGACACUUCUUCAGUUGCGAUACAUGGAAGACAUUGUGGACAUUCGAUAGUGCUUCCGGUAAAUCCAAUUUGUGGGCUACCUCUCCUUGUCGUGACAAGAUCUUGAAAGGUCCAAUGAAACGGGGUGCUAGCUUUCCCUUGAUUCCAAAUCUCUUGACACCGCAUAUCGGUGAAACUCUAAGAUACGCUCUAUCUUCAGCCUCGUAGGUAACCUCCCACAUUUGGUAUCCGCGUAGCUCUUCUGCCUUGACUGAGCUACCUUCAGUCGGUCUUGGAUGAGCCUAACCUUUUCCUCGGCAUCCUUUAUCAUAUCC
rnacentral:lncRNA from 1 species